rnacentral:lncRNA from 1 species
GAAAAAAAAAAUAGAGCUUCAUAAGAUAAAGCAUACAAAUUUGAUCAGAUCAAGACCUCUCAAUUCUCGUAUAUGUCCGUGAGGUCCGCUCAAUGAAUUACAGACUUGCAAUUAGUGAAGAUAGUGAAUCAGGUAAUUAUCACCAACCAACAAUUGCACAGAAAUCAAACCAGGUACACUUCAGAAAGGUUCCUUUGUUUUGUCUGUUUUAACUCUGUUACUCAGAACAGCACGAUCUUUCAUUUUUCAGCACUGAAGACAUGAAUGAAAAUGGAGGGCUCAUGCAUUCUGCAAUACAGGGAUAGAAGGUAAAAAAUUGUGGGAACAAGAUACCUUGAGGUCCUUGAUUGUUUCUCGCAGCUUCUCAUUAGAUUCUUUAAGCUUUUCUGCCUCACUUCUGAGUUCUGCCAACAUACGAGCUGCAUUGCUCAAGAUAUUUGCUUUAUCCAACUUAGCUUGCUUGUCAGGAUUGAGAACAGAAGAUAGCUCAAGAAACCUGUGAUUGAAAAAUCAUGGAUGCAUGUGUGAGUGCAUUCAUCUUUUCUGCAUGCAGGGAUGACAAAGGGGCAUGCUGCUAAUCUUCCCACCUGUCAU